UACCUGCUGUGUUACCUGUAGUGUGGCUGUGUUACCUGUAGUGUGGCUGUGUAGGCUGCAGCUCCACCUGCUGGCUGGAGGAGCUCAGCAACAGUUCUUUAUCAGGACCCGGUCACACCAGAAACCAGCACUGUGAAAAUCAGUUUUUGUCAUGGUUCACAAACUGCGUCCCUCAGUCCAGUCUGACUUCCUGUCUGUGGCUCUCUGCUGCGAGCCCAUUGGUUCUUCAUAAUGAUGUAAGUUGCAUUAAACAUUAGAAGGUUUUAUUCAGGCUGUCAAACUGACUCAAACGGUCGGGAAAAAAUGAAAGAUAGAAGCUAAAAUCUACCGAUCACACAGUACAAGUGAACCAGUGCACCCCCGACAACGAUAUUAAGGAUCAACGCUGUUCCUGUACAGCUGCUCUAUUCACUAAUCAUUAAAAUGCAAAAGCAGCGGGUUUAUAUAACGUUGCAUUCAGUAGGAAGUUAGCCAGCGUUAGCUAACUAACAUCACAUUAGGAAUAAGCCAACUUUUUUCUGGAUUUGUUUCAGGUUUUGGAAAGAGAAUAAACCGUCCUUCUCCUUCCAGACUCUCUGGUAGCUGCUGUAAUUAUUACAAGAUGCUCCAGGAGCAGCGUUUGACCAGAUCUUAGAAACAUACAGCCAGAAAAAGCUAGAAAACAACUCUUUCUGCAUUCGAGUCACUGGAGCGCAGCCAUGAAAGAGUCGGAGCUCAGAGUGAGACCUAUACUGGGCUGUGAUUGGCCAGAAGUGUAUUUGGGGCGUGGCUUAGCGAAGCGAGGCAAUUGGCUCUGCCUACUCACGAAAUGACAGGCGCUGGCCCUUCCUACAGCUCGGGCAUGGUUGGCUACUGUAGGCUGUGGACGGGACACGUGAGCUCCUGUUGGGUCGAAUCAUGUGUCCAUUGAAAGGUCAAAUUUCAGUUUACAUCCAAACUCAAGUUAUUCCGGUUUUAAUUACAUAUUAGAUACGUCUGACACCUCAAGUCCACUGACUCCGGCUGCGCCGCGGUUGCCGGAGCUAAUCGCAGCCGUUAUAAUCGAUGCUUGUGAGUCCACCAGACGAGAAGCGUGUCUCCGCUCCGCAGAGAGGUACCAGGUCUAUUCUGGACGCAAGAGCAGAUCGAGCCCGGCAGGAAGUCAGACAAAACGCCCUGUUUCUGAAACGCUCCCUGAUGAUAUGCAGCCUGCAACCGACGGAGCGAAAUGUGGUCGCAGAGAGCCGUAAAGAAAUGUAGGAGCGCAAAAAAGGACAAAUUAAUAAUAAUCGACCGCCGGAUUACUGUGAGGCUUCAUAGGUGAGUCAUGUCAGGCCUGACAGAGGCGCUGAUGGUGGUCGCCGUGGCGAUUUUAUCAUGAAAUCGUUUCACUGGUCGAGUCAUAAGGAGCUCAGUUUUCCAGCAGCUGUGUGUAAUCUGGUGUGGCCGGGACUUUACUGCAUGAUGUUCAGUCUGUUCUGUUUCUGUCUGCAUGCAGCACUGAUAACAAUAAUAAUGAUAAUAAAAGUUUAGUUUCAUUGAUGUUUGAACGAGCAGGAGACGUAGAAUAGACGCUGUCGCCGCACGCUGCUUCCUGUUUCCUGACUUUACUAAACAGGAAGUGUUCUGAAGCUUCUCUCCUCCUCACUAACCUUCCAGCUGCUGGUGAGCCGACCAGCGCCACCCAACAAGCCACUCCCACCUGACCCCGUCACACCUGGACAGGUCUCUGUUCCAUCCAAACCUGUGGUGCCCAUCAAGCCCCGCCUCCUGCCCCCGCCGUGCCACCCCCACAUCCCCCCUCACCCCGGCUACCCAGCCAACACCAAACCGCCGCACCACGGAGCCGUCGCACCUGCAGCCGGUCCCAGCAGACGACCUCCUCCUGCUCCUCCGCUUCGACCCGCAAACCCUCACAAAGUCGACUCGUCCCCGCUGUAACUCGGCGUGGAGGACGUGAGUUUGUCUGACAAACUCUCGAACGUCAGUGACGAAGAUGAUGAUGACUUAAUUAUCCAGUUUGCACUCGGUCAUCGGAUUUCUCUCUGAACCCUGUAAAUAAAAGCUCAGUGCCUUGCUCAGCAGCGCCGAACUUCGACCGACGGCUGCCGGAGAUGAUGUCACAUUAAAGUGUCUUGGUGUCGACGAUGCGGCGCCCCCUGGAGCCAGCAGGGGGUCAGUGCCUUGCUCGAGGAACCUGGGACGGGAAUCAAACCUGUGUUUCUCAAAGUAAAGACUAAUUAGCAGAGUGGUUCCCAAACUGUGGUCCAGGGCCCUCUGCAGGACCCGGAACAGGCUCCUCUGGAAAUGAGAAAUCUUUUUUAGGCUCCAGAUGUUUUAGCAAAAUAACAUAUUUUCUUUUUUUCUUCAGUCCUGCAAAUCUUUUUUCGUGGAGUCGGAGUUCAGAGAUCUGAAACACGUGAACAGUCGAAGUUAAGACUUGAGAUUAAGGACGUGGAAGAUGAACAGCUGUCGGACCAAGUGGCGGCCGAAACCUGUCUGAGAUUUUUAAAAUGAAGUUGAAAAAUUGGAGAAAACAAUAUAUAAAUAUUUAUAUUUUAUUUUUUCAGAAUAAAGUUGUAACAUUUCGAUAAAGUACUUUCAAAAAGUGACAACAUUACAACUUUAUAAUCAGAAGAUUACAACCAAAAUAUUCCAGCUUUGUUCUCUACGAUCUUUGAGUUUUAAAAUUAUAAAUAUUUGGACUUUAUUCUUGAAAUCUCAGACUUGUUUUUGCCGCAGGGAUUGUAUUUUAGCUUUGCUCUAAAAUCUUAAAAUUCUUGUUGCUGGAUCGAAGGAAGCUCCUUCGCUGACGUGACAAACGCGUUCUGGAUUUUCUAACGAUGAGAUUCUUGUUGGACUUCAGGCUGGACGUGAACUGGAAGGAGUGCUGGAUCAGGUUUUUAUUUUUCUAACCCGCCUUGAGAUUUCUAUCGGAGACAGUCAGGAAUGUAACGAGUGUUCGUGACCUUACGCCAAAGACGAAUGAUGUAAAAGAUGCUGUAACAUUUAUCUGACCUCUCCUGCUGAAGGAAGAAGUUUGUAUUUGCCUUUUCCGGGUAGAGAUGGAGGACGCGUAGCUGAACUCUGUGAUCGGCUCAUUAGUGGAAGAGAAUAAGUGAGAAAGACAUAAUCAUAACAGGGCGGAACAAUUAUUCCAAAUCUUAUCAAUAUCGCAAUAUGGCUUUAUAAAUCGCAGGAGGUGCAGAAGGCUUUAUGUGUCAAUCUAGCUUUUCAAAUUAAAUAUCUUGCUGCAGCCUUCA